rnacentral:pre_miRNA from 13 species
UGUGGGAGCGAGACGAGGACUCACUGUGCUUUUUAUAUAGUCAGUCUUUUUCUCUCUCCUAUA